GCGUAAGAUCCCGCACCGUUUUAGUAAUAGAGGACAUACACUUUGGACAGUCAUAGUCGAUACCCAUUACAAUUUUUAGCUUAAGUCUCGUCCUCACUUAUCGGCGAGAUGUCGC
rnacentral:ncRNA from 1 species